rnacentral:rRNA from 1 species
UUGCUCCUGAUUGAUAAACAUUUGAGUGAGUGGCGGACGGGUGAGUAACACGUGGGUAACCUGCCCUAAAGUGGGGGAUAACAUUUGGAAACAGAUGCUAAUACCGCAUAAAACCUAACACCGCAUGGUGUAGGGUUGAAAGAUGGUUUCGGCUAUCACUUUAGGAUGGACCCGCGGUGCAUUAGUUAGUUGGUGAGGUAAAGGCUCACCAAGACCGUGAUGCAUAGCCGACCUGAGAGGGUAAUCGGCCACACUGGGACUGAGACACGGCCCAGACUCCUACGGGAGGCAGCAGUAGGGAAUCUUCCACAAUGGACGAAAGUCUGAUGGAGCAACGCCGCGUGAGUGAAGAAGGUUUUCGGAUCGUAAAACUCUGUUGUUGGAGAAGAAUGUAUCUGAUAGUAACUGAUCAGGUAGUGACGGUAUCCAACCAGAAAGCCACGGCUAACUACGUGCCAGCAGCCGCGGUAAUACGUAGGUGGCAAGCGUUGUCCG